rnacentral:rRNA from 1 species
AUUGAACGCUGGCGGCAGGCUUAACACAUGCAAGUCGAACGAGCGGCGGACGGGUGAGUAAUGUAUGGGAAUCUAGCCUAUGGAGGGGGAUAACUACGGGAAACUGUCGCUAAUACCGCGUACUAUAGGAUGAGCCCAAGUGGGAUUAGGUAGUUGGUGUGGUAAAGGCUCACCAAGUCGACGAUCUCUAGCUGGUCUGAGAGGAUGACCAGCCACACUGGGACUGAGACACGGCCCAGACUCCAACGGGAGGCAGCAGGGGGGAAUAUUGCGCAAUGGGGGCAAACUGACUCAGGCAUGCCGCGUGGAUGAAGAAGGCCUUCGGGUUUUAAAGUUCUUUUGGUAGGGAGGCGUUAACUCCAGAAGAAGCACCGGCUAACUCCGUGCCAGCCGGCGGGGUAAUAC